AUUGAACGCUGGCGGCAGGCUUAACACAUGCAAGUCGAGCGAGCGGCGGACGGGUGAGUAAUGUCUGGGAAACUGCCUGAUGGAGGGGGAUAACUACUGGAAACGGUAGCUAAUACCGCAUACCAUCAGAUGUGCCCAGAUGGGAUUCGCUAGUAGGUGGGGUAAUGGCUCACCGAGGCGACGAUCCCUAGCUGGUCUGAGAGGAGGACCAGCCACACAGGAACGGAGACACGGGCCAGACGCCAACGGGGGGCAGCAGUGGGGUAUAUUGCACAAUGGGCGCAAGCCAGAUGCAGCCAUGCCGGGUGUGUGAAGAGGGCCUUCGGGUUGUAAAGCACUUUCAGCGAGGAGGCGUUACUCGCAGAAGAAGCACCGGCUAACUCCGUGCCAGCAGCCGCGGUAAUAC
rnacentral:rRNA from 1 species